rnacentral:rRNA from 1 species
GCUACGGGAGGCAGCAGUGGGGAAUAUUGCACAAUGGGGGAAACCCUGAUGCAGCGACGCCGCGUGAGUGAAGAAGUAAUUCGUUACGUAAAGCUCUAUCAGCAGGGAAGAAAAUGACGGUACCUGAGUAAGAAGCCCCGGCCAACUACGUGCCAGCAGCAGCGGUAAUACGUAGGGGGCAAGCGUAAGCAGGAUUUACUGGGUGUAAAGGGAGCGUAGACGGGGCGCCAAGUCUGGAGUGAAAUGCCACAGCUUAACUGCGGAACUGCUUUGGAAACUGGCUAACUAGAUUGCGGGUCGGGUAAGCGGAAUUCCGAGUGUAGCGGUGAAAUGCGUAGAUAUUAGGAGGAACACCGGUGGCGCAGGCGGCUUACUGGACCGUAACUGACGUUGAGGCUCGAAAGCGUGGGGAGCAAACAGGAUUAGAUACCCGUGUAGUC